rnacentral:lncRNA from 1 species
GUGAUUCAUUUCCCAUCCCACCUUGAACUGUGCUGAAGGAGAAGCAUUGAAAUCGAAAGUAGAUGAAAGAAGAAAAUUGCAAAUUACCCAGGUUUUUGAGGCCAAUUUUCAAAAGGAAAGCAAACAACCUGUGACAUGCAAGGGUUUAUCAUAUAAUUGCUGCUUCAGCAAGCAUCAAUGCUAUCUACGUGGAAGCUGUGUUUCUCCCUGGAGACUAAUAUGUAUUGAUCAAGCAAGACCCACUGAAGCAGUGGCCCAACUGAUGCUACAUCCAAAUCAGCUGAGAUGAUGCAGCCAUAGACAACUACAGACAGGAUUUCUGCGUUUAAUCAUGAUCCCCAUGAUGACAGUAGCAGUCUGCCUUGUCUGGGUCAGUGUACUGUCUGGCUCUGAUCAUACCCAGAAUCGACUGAGACCUGGAGUAUAGCCAGAGACUGACUGGUGAGAAGUUGCACUGUUGAAGCUUUUAUUAUUACUCCUUGCCUCUGAUUAAAGGACUAUGUGAUCAAGUUGAGCAUGGAAUAAGAACAAAAAAAGCAGAGUGAUCUCAAUUCCAGCAACGGUAGCAAAUCCAGUCAUUCUCUUAGAGCUCUCCAUCACAAGUGUUGAUUCACUAUUCUCCCCCACCUGGAUAUGUGUGCACCAGAUACAGAGAAAUUGAAAUUGGAUGAGAGCAGAAAAAAUGCAACUUACCUUUUCUCUGACUCCGAAUUUCAAAAGAAAAAAAAAACAGGUAGCAAGUACUAGAUGAUUAUAUAUCUGGCUGCUUGGACUUACAUCCCAACUAUAUAUGUGAAAGCCUCCAUUUCUGUCUGAACGAAGCUGGUUUUGAUCCUGGGCUGCCCAUAGCUGCUUGCUGAUAACAUUUUUGAUAUGCUGUGUCAGAAUCCCCAAUUACGAUGAUAAAUGCUGAAUUUAAAUGGUUUUUCAUGUCUUUCUUUGGACAUAGAUGAAAUUUCCUCACUCAGAAGUGGAUAUUAGACAUAAAGCAAAGGAUACCCUACCUACAGUAAAUAAUCCUAGUGAAACUAGGUAACAAAGAUGAUGGUAAGAGAAAUAUACAUGUAUCUCCCUGGCAAUGGGACAUAGACAAGAAAUCCACAAUGAUUUAGUGAUAAUGAAGUGGACAAGGAAGGAUGGAAGUAGAGAGAAGCAGUGAGGAGGGGAGUGUUAGGAGAACAUGAGAGAAUGGGAUGGUCCAGAUGGAAGAAUAAGAGAUGAGACCAAGGAAUGAGAUAUCUUGACAGAGGGAGAUAUUAUGGGGUUAGGGAGGCACCAAGAAAUUUCCCUGUGAUCUACAAAAAAGACACACACCCUCCCCCGCUAAAAUUCUAAGCAACACAUUAGAGUGUUCCUGAACUGUCCUUCAACUAUAAUCAUACUGACAGCAACCUUAAUUGUCAUCAUGGAAACUUCAUCCAGUAAAUGAUAUAAGCAGAUGCAGCUAUAUACAACUAAAUACUUGGUCAAGCUUCAGGUGUCAAUUUGAAAAGAUCAAGUUACAAUAAUAUAAACAAAGGGGUCAGUCCCAUAAUGGGAAACUUAAAGAAACUGCCAACAAGAUCUAGCAUACUUCUUAGUGAGUUGAUGUCACAAAGCCACUUAUAAAUAGUUUAUGCUAUUCUUGGGAAACAAUUCAACCUUACUUCGUGACAGCUGAGAAUGUAUGCUGAAAUUGUAAACUUGGCCAAGG